GGAAGCUACAUGCCGCCUACCGACCUC
rnacentral:piRNA from 1 species